rnacentral:rRNA from 1 species
CAAUAGCGUAUAUUAAAGUUGUUGCGGUUAAAAGCUCGUAGUUGGAUUUCUGCUUGGGCGGCCGAUCGUGCCUUUCGUGGGCUUUACAGGUCCGCUUGUCGGCCCUGAGCAUCUUCUUGGGAAUCGUGUCUGCACUUUGACUGUGUGGCACGGGUUCCAGGACUUUUACUUUGAGGAAAUUAGAGUGUUUCAAGCAGGCGUCCGCCUUGAAUACGUUAGCAUGGAAUAAUGCGACAGGACCUCGGUCCAUUUUGUUGGUUUCUUGGGUUGAGGUAAUGAUUAACAGGGAUGGUUGGGGCAUUCGUAUUUAACUGUCAUGAGGUGAAAUUCUGGAUUUGUUAAAGACGAACUACUGCGAAAGCAUUUGCCAAGGAUGUUUUCAUUGAUCAAGAACGAAAGUUAGGGGAUC